AACCGCCCCGCCCCGCCCCACCCCACCUUGCCCGAUCUUUCUGCCACCGCCGCCUUCCCUUUCCCACCACAACGUCAUUCCCCCGUACGCCGUCGCAGUGUCCGUCUUCUCCCCGUAGCCGACUGUCGCAGGCUGCAGCCCUCGCCCAGUGCCUAUGAUGCUUGAAGGCAUAGGCGUUGCUGCCCUGCUCUAUCCGCCGCUGAGGUCGCCACCAGAGGAACGCCCCCAUCUGAACCAACGAGUGGGACGCGGGCUUCCGCCGCCGGCUGCAGCCUUCGCUUGCCGCCGAUGCCGCUCGAAGAUGGAGGAAGAUGCGCUGAUGCCCGACACGAUCCCACGCCGAGGCCGCCACCAGAGGUCCGUCCCCCACCGAUCCUCAAACUCGCCCACCCGUCGCCCGAAGCCAUCCACCCUCUCCGUUUGCUGCUGCAGGCAGUACAUCUGCUAUUCUGUUCUUCCUGUCGACUCUGGAUCUAUGUAUUGUUCAUAAAUGUGAACUGGAUGUCAAAGAGAAGUUGCAGAGGCUGAACUAACAGAAAGAUGAUAGCAUCAUAAGCUAUUCUGCGCCCUUGUCCAUUCUAAGUAGAGGAUGAAGUGAACCAUGGGUAGGAUGAGUGAAGUUCAGAUAAAAAAUUUGUUCGCAUGAUUGGCAGGGACGGAGCUGCUUCAUUGGCACUGGUGUCAGCUGAUGCCGACUAGAAGUUGCAUUUGUUGAUGUUGGACACUACAGAAAUGGUAACUUUGCAAGAAGCCAGAAACUUGUGAAACGUCGGUUGGAGAUGCCUUAUGAGGUUUGGGGGACAAAGAACUUGUCUCCGCCGCAGCUACCAUGGUUGUUGAUGACCAUGUCGAGGAUCUUUACAGGGUGGCCCUUUCUGUCCAGGCUUAGAUAUGUAGAGGGCUGCAAAUAUAAGAAUGUAGAACUUUGUUAUUUGACUUAUUUCUGGAUGCUACAAAAAUAGUUAGCGAUGAACCUAUCUCAGCAUCCAGGUGCAUGGAUGAAGCCGCACUUGGUUUUCGAGAAGAUACGAGGAUAAGGAGCUGCCUUAUAUUACCAGGAUAAAUUGUCGGAGGCACUGGCUUUGACAACGGAUGGGUCUGGGUCUUCCAUGUUACUAUUAGUGACAUUGGUUUUAUGAAGGCAAGCUUGAGAUUUGAGACAAUUGUGCCCAAUAUCUACUCACAUCGUCAUGAGUUUGUUUCCUUAAUGCUUGAGGUAGUUUAGAGCCAAUUAAGGUUUUCCAAAUUACAUUGUUGCGAUGUUGAACACAGAAAAGCUUUAAGCAUAGUGUUGUUCGCUUGACCGAAACAAAAGUUGCUUAUAUGAGCCAUGUUCCUGUUCCCGUUGAAA